rnacentral:rRNA from 1 species
GACGCUGGCGGCGUGCCUAAUACAUGCAAGUCGAACGCACAGCGAAAGGUGCUUGCACCUUUCAAGUGAGUGGCGAACGGGUGAGUAACACGUGGACAACCUGCCUCAAGGCUGGGGAUAACAUUUGGAAACAGAUGCUAAUACCGAAUAAAACUUAGUGUCGCAUGACACAAAGUUAAAAGGCGCUUCGGCGUCACCUAGAGAUGGAUCCGCGGUGCAUUAGUUAGUUGGUGGGGUAAAGGCCUACCAAGACAAUGAUGCAUAGCCGAGUUGAGAGACUGAUCGGCCACAUUGGGACUGAGACACGGCCCAAACUCCUACGGGAGGCUGCAGUAGGGAAUCUUCCACAAUGGGCGAAAGCCUGAUGGAGCAACGCCGCGUGUGUGAUGAAGGCUUUCGGGUCGUAAAGCACUGUUGUAUGGGAAGAACAGCUAGAAUAGGAAAUGAUUUUAGUUUGACGGUACCAUACCAGAAAGGGACGGCUAAAUACGUGCCAGCAGCCGCGGUAAUACGUAUGUCCCGAGCGUUAUCCGGAUUUAUUGGGCGUAAAGCGAGCGCAGACGGUUUAUUAAGUCUGAUGUGAAAGCCCGGAGCUCAACUCCGGAAUGGCAUUGGAAACUGGUUAACUUGAGUGCAGUAGAGGUAAGUGGAACUCCAUGUGUAGCGGUGGAAUGCGUAGAUAUAUGGAAGAACACCAGUGGCGAAGGCGGCUUACUGGACUGCAACUGACGUUGAGGCUCGAAAGUGUGGGUAGCAAACAGGAUUAGAUACCCUGGUAGUCCACACCGUAAACGAUGAACACUAGGUGUUAGGAGGUUUCCGCCUCUUAGUGCCGAAGCUAACGCAUUAAGUGUUCCGCCUGGGGAGUACGACCGCAAGGUUGAAACUCAAAGGAAUUGACGGGGACCCGCACAAGCGGUGGAGCAUGUGGUUUAAUUCGAAGCAACGCGAAGAACCUUACCAGGUCUUGACAUCCUUUGAAGCUUUUAGAGAUAGAAGUGUUCUCUUCGGAGACAAAGUGACAGGUGGUGCAUGGUCGUCGUCAGCUCGUGUCGUGAGAUGUUGGGUUAAGUCCCGCAACGAGCGCAACCCUUAUUGUUAGUUGCCAGCAUUCAGAUGGGCACUCUAGCGAGACUGCCGGUGACAAACCGGAGGAAGGCGGGGACGACGUCAGAUCAUCAUGCCCCUUAUGACCUGGGCUACACACGUGCUACAAUGGCGUAUACAACGAGUUGCCAACCCGCGAGGGUGAGCUAAUCUCUUAAAGUACGUCUCAGUUCGGAUUGUAGUCUGCAACUCGACUACAUGAAGUCGGAAUCGCUAGUAAUCGCGGAUCAGCACGCCGCGGUGAAUACGUUCCCGGGUCUUGUACACACCGCCCGUCACACCAUGGGAGUUUGUAAUGCCCAAAGCCGGUGGCCUAACCUUUUAGGAAGGAGCCGUCUAAGGCAGGACAGAUGACUGGGGUGAA